UGGCAUCAACACAUCUAAUGAGGCAGUCAUUGGAAAUAAUUUGGCAAGGUUUUGGGGAAAAGUGCACGGCAAAGAUGUUACAGCGCACUGCAACGUCUAGCCCCCAUUCUGGUCAAGCUUUUGUUAUAUUCAAGACAAGGGAAGCAUCAGAGAUGGCUAUGAG